rnacentral:rRNA from 1 species
UACGUAGGCAGCAAGCGUUGUUCGGAAUUAUUGGGCGUAAAGAGCGUGUAGGCGGUUUGGUAGGUCCGCUGUGAAAACUCGAGGCUCAACCUCGAGACGCCGAUGGAAACCAUCAGACUAGAGUCCGGAAGAGGAGAGUGGAAUUCCUGGUGUAGCGGUGAAAUGCGCAGAUAUCAGGAAGAACACCCGUGGCUAAGGCGGCUCUCUAGUACGGUACUGACGCUGAGACGCGAAAGCGUGGGGAGCGAACAGG